rnacentral:lncRNA from 1 species
GGAUUUGGUUUCGAGUUCAAAAAUAAAUUAAUGUGUCUGUUAUUUAAAAAUUUUAAACAGAAUAUUGAAUUUUAUGUUUAAAAACAUUAAGUGUGUAAUAACAUGUGAUUUCAAAUAUAAUAUUUUUUAUUCGAAUAAACUUGGAAGGUUUGCUUCGGGGUUCCACCUGUAGAUCUUUUUUGAUGUGAGAUUCGCUGAGAUAUAAGUGGUAUGUCACUCAUUGUUGAGGUGUUUGUGUGGGGUGAAGUCUUUGUCGAAAUGUGGGAAAUAAAGUGAGUUUAAAUAUAUGAUUUUUUUGUCUUUUAACGUUGGUGUGAAUGAGCAUUUAUUACUGAAUGUUACUUUUAUGAGUUUUUUAUUUAAAGUGUUUCAGUUUCGCUGGAAUUUAUAUGUUAGGGGAAGUUUUUAAGACAAUGUAUCUAAGUUUUUGUUUUGGAAUCAAAAAAUUGGAUAGUUGUAUUUUCUCUCUUUGGAUCUAUCCAUCCUCUUAUAAUAAUUUGAGAACAUAAAAUUAUCAAAGAAAUCUCUUUGGAUUUAAUAACGAUCGUAAUUUUGGGUUUGCCAAAAUAACCUGUUAGGAAAUGAGAAAACUAACUACCAUAAUACACUAAGUUUAUCUAUAU